rnacentral:rRNA from 1 species
AAUAGAUACCCGGGUAGUCCACGCCGUAAACGAUGAAUGCUAGGUGUUAGGGGUUUCGAUACCCUUGGUGCCGAAGUUAACACAUUAAGCAUUCCGCCUGGGGAGUACGGUCGCAAGACUGAAACUCAAAGGAAUUGACGGGGACCCGCACAAGCAGUGGAGUAUGUGGUUUAAUUCGAAGCAACGCGAAGAACCUUACCAGGUCUUGACAUCCCUCUGACCGUCCUAGAGAUAGGACUUUCCUUCGGGACAGAGGAGACAGGUGGUGCAUGGUUGUCGUCAGCUCGUGUCGUGAGAUGUUGGGUUAAGUCCCGCAACGAGCGCAACCCUUGAUCUUAGUUGCCAGCACUUUGGGUGGGCACUCUAGGAUGACUGCCGGUGACAAACCGGAGGAAGGUGGGGAUGACGUCAAAUCAUCAUGCCCCUUAUGACCUGGGCUACACACGUACUACAAUGGCCGAUACAACGGGAAGCGAAACCGCGAGGUGGAGCCAAUCCUAUCAAAGUCGGUCUCAGUUCGGAUUGCAGGCUGCAACUCG